GACGAACGCUGGCGGCGUGCUUAACACAUGCAAGUCGAACGGAAAGGCCCCUUUUGGGGUACUCGAGUGGCGAACGGGUGAGUAACACGUGAGUAACCUGCCCUUGACUUCGGGUUAACUUCAGGAAACUGGGGCUAAUACCGGCUAGGAAUCCUUGCUGCAUGGUGGGGGUUGGAAAGCUUCGGCGGUUUGGGAUGGACUCGCGGCUUAUCAGCUUGUUGGUGGGGUAGUGGCUUACCAAGGCUUUGACGGGUAGCCGGCCUGAGAGGGCGAACGGCCACAUUGGGACUGAGAUACGGCCCAGACUCCUACGGGAGGCAGCAGUGGGGAAGAUUGCACAAUGGGCGGAAGCCUGAUGCAGCAACGCCGCGGGCGGGAUGACGGCCUUCGGGUUGGAAACCGCUUUCAGCAGGGGCGAAGCUUGUGGUGACGGUACCUGCAGAAGAAGCACCGGCUAACUACGUG
rnacentral:rRNA from 1 species